UUAACAAAAACAUGUCCUUUAGAAUAUAAUUUAAGGUCUGAUCUGCUCAGUGAAGUUUAAAUUGCCGCAGUAUUUUGACUGUGCAAAGGUAGCAUAAUAAUUAGCUUCUUAAUUAGAAGCUGGAAUGAAUGAUUGGACAAGAAAGUUUCUGUCUCUAUUUAAUUGUUUGUUGAAUUUUAUUUUUAAGUUAAAAAGCUUAAAUUUCUAUAAAAGACGAGAAGACCCUAUAGAGUUUAAUAUUUAAAUUUUAUUUAAUUUUAGGAUUUUUUUUGAAGUUUAAGUAUUUAGUUGGGGUGAUUUAAAGAUUAGAAUAAUUCUUUAAUUUUUUUGUUGAUGAUAAUUAAAUUUUAAAUCUAUGCUUUUAAAUUUAAUAUAAAUUACCUUAGGGAUAACAGCGUAAUUUUUCUUUAAAGCUCUUAUUAAAAGGAAAUUUUGCGACCUCGAUGUUGGAUUAAAAUUAAUUCUUGGUGCAAUAACUUAGAAAUUGGGUCUGUUCGACCUUUAAAAUUUUACAUGAUCUGAGUUUAAACCGGUGUAAGCCAGGUUGGAUUCUAUCUUUAGAUUUUUUAUAAAUUUUAGUACGAAAGGACCAAAUUUAUGUUAUAAUUACUG
rnacentral:rRNA from 1 species